rnacentral:tRNA from 1 species
GGAGAGAUGGCUCAGUGGUAGAGAGCACUGGCUGCUCUUCCUGAAGUCCUGGGUUUGAUUCCCAGCUACUACU